CAGGGCGUAGCUAAAACAUUAAAGCAUCUCCCUUACACCGAGAAAACAUCCAUGUAAACUGGGUCGCCCUGA
rnacentral:tRNA from 1 species